rnacentral:rRNA from 1 species
AUUGAACGCUGGCGGCAGGCUUAACACAUGCAAGUCGAGCGGGGGAAGGUAGCUUGCUACCGGACCUAGCGGCGGACGGGUGAGUAAUGCUUAGGAAUCUGCCUAUUAGUGGGGGACAACAUCUCGAAAGGGAUGCUAAUACCGCAUACGUCCUACGGGAGAAAGCAGGGGAUCUUCGGACCUUGCGCUAAUAGAUGAGCCUAAGUCGGAUUAGCUAGUUGGUGGGGUAAAGGCCUACCAAGGCGACGAUCUGUAGCGGGUCUGAGAGGAUGAUCCGCCACCCUGGGACUGGAAAACGGCCCAGACUCCUACGGGAGGCAGCAGUGGGGAAUAUUGGACAAUGGGGGGAACCCUGAUCCAGCCAUGCCGCGUGUGUGAAGAAGGCCUUAUGGUUGUAAAGCACUUUAAGCGAGGAGGAGGCUACUCUAGUUAAUACCUAGGGAUAGUGGACGUUACUCGCAGAAUAAGCACCGGCUAACUCUGUGCCAGCCGCCGCCGUAA